rnacentral:misc_RNA from 1 species
GAAAUAAACCUGAUGAGUUGUUGCUGGUUCUCUAGAGAGCAUUGUGCACGCUUGUCAUCUUUAUGUCGCCACCUGUGCACAUUUUGUAGACCUGGAUCACUCUCUGAAAUGCUAACCAGCAUUUUUAGGUUGGAGGAAUUUGACUUUGUUGUCUUUCCUUGCAUUUCUAGGUCUAUGUUCUUUUUCAUAUAAUCUUAUUGUGAUAUAAUGGACCCUAUAUAAUAUAAACCUAUACAACUUUCAGCAACGGAUCUCUUGGCUCU